rnacentral:tRNA from 1 species
CCUUGUGGCUCAGAUGGUAAAGCGUCUGCCUGCAAUGCAGGAGACCUAGAUUCGAUCCCUGGGUCAGGGA